rnacentral:rRNA from 1 species
CCUACGGGUGGCUGCAGUGGGGAAUAUUGCACAAUGGGGGAAACCCUGAUGCAGCGACGCCGCGUGAGCGAUGAAGUUUCUCGGUAUGUUAAGCCUUAUCAGCAGGGAAGAAAAUGACGGUACCUGACUAAGAAGCCCCGGCUAACUACGUGCCAACAACCGUGGUAAUACGCAGGGGGCCAGCGUUAUCCGGAUUUACUGGGCGUAAAGGGAGCGUAGACGGUGGUGCAAGGCAGGUGUGAAAGCCCGGGGCUCAACCCCGGGACUGCAGUUGAAACUGUGCUGCUAGAGUGUGAGAGAGGCAGGCGGAAUGCGUGGUGUAGCGGUGAAAUGCAUAGAUAUUAAGAAGAACACCGGUGGCGAAGGCAGCCUGCUGG